rnacentral:rRNA from 1 species
CAGUAGCCGCGGGAAAACGGAGGGUGCUAGCGUUGUUCGGAAUCACUGGGCGUAAAGGGCGCGUAGGCGGCCUGUUAAGUCGGAUGUGAAAGCCCGGGGCUCAACCCCGGAACUGCAUCCGAGACUGGCAGGCUUGAGACCGGGAGAGGAGGGUGGAAUAUCCAGUGUAGAGGUGAAAUUCGUAGAUAUUGGAUGGAACACCGGUGGCGAAAGCGGCUCUCUGGCCCGGAUCUGACGCUGAGGCGCGAAAGCGUGGGGAGCAAACAGGAUUAGAUACCCGAGUAGUCCCUGUCUCUUAUAC